rnacentral:rRNA from 1 species
UACGGAGGGGCUAGCGUUGUUCGGAAUUACUGGGCGUAAAGCGCACGUAGGCGGCUUUGCAAGUUAGAGGUGAAAGCCCGGGGCUCAACUCCGGAAUUGCCUUUAAAAACUGCAUCGCUAGAAUUGUGGAGAGGUAAGUGGAAAUUCCGAGUGUAGAGGUGAAAUUCGUAGAUAUUCGGAAGAACACCAGUGGCGAAGGCGACUUACUGGACACAUAUUGACGCUGAGGUGCGAAAGCGUGGGAGCAAACAGG